UACGUAGGGUGCGAGCGUUGUCCGGAAUUAUUGGGCGUAAAGGGCUCGUAGGCGGUUUGUCGCGUCGGGAGUGAAAUCCACUGGCUUAACUGGUGGCUUGCUUUCGAUACGGGCAGACUGGAGGUAUGCAGGGGAGAACGGAAUUCCUGGUGUAGCGGCGAAAUGCGCAGAUAUCAGGAGGAACACCGGUGGCGAAGGCGGUUCUCUGGGCAUGUCCUGACGCUGAGGAGCGAAAGUGUGGGGAGCGAACAGG
rnacentral:rRNA from 1 species